UUAGCAACUGAUAAAUAAAUAAAUCGGUAACCAAUCUAUUACAUUGGCCUCAUUAUUCAAAUACAUCUCUUUCAUUUACAAAAAGAAAGUAAAAAACCAAGUCAACCUUUUUGUUCAAACAAACAAAUAACUUGGCGGCCCUGUUCUAGACAGGGGCUUGCAGGCAAACUCUAUAGUAAUCCAUCCCAGUGCUAUCGCCGAUAUUUGCUAUUAUUGAUGCCACCAAUGCCUCCAUCUCUCUCUCUCCUAAGCUCUCCUCAAAAGUCAAAACUAUGUGAAGAACAGAACAGUGAACAGCUCAACUUAAAUAUGGGGGCGCAGGGGGGGAGGGGUGACACUGUUACUGAGUUUUAGGGACCGCUCGGAAAUAACUUAUAUGGUAAAAUUUAAAAUGACUUAUAAGUCAUUUUCAAUUGUGAUUUAUAAAUAAUAGUUUUUGACACCAGUUUAACUUGCAAGUUAAAAUUUAAGUUAAAACAAAUUAAAAUGACUUAUAAGAUAAAAUAAGUUGUAAAGAUAACCAAAAUAUAAGGACAGAAGAGUCUUUACAUUUGGUCAAAGUUACUUAUUUAAAAUGACUCAUAAGUCAUUUUUUGAGAAAAAAUUGUUGCUUCUCAAAAAUUACUUAUAAAUCGAUUUCUAAGUUAAAAACAAUAAGUCAUCCAAACAAAACCUGGUGAUUUAAAGAACAGGAUUGAGAGCCUCAUUGACAGGGAGAGUACCUGGAGCGGGACGAGCAAUUCUCAAAUAUACAAUUAAUUACCUGGCAUAGAUAUCAUGUCCAAUUUUAUUUAUAAAUGACUAGAGAAACUGCAGUUCUCACCACAAGGACACUCACUGUGUCAGAUUUUGCACAGGAACUCUAGUGUUUAUUUGCAUUUUCAUUUUAAGAAGCAUAAAAAAGUUGCAACUCUAUAAUAACAGGAUUUCUAAAUUUCUUUUUGCUGUAAUUAGCAAUAGAAAUCUAGGCUAUCAAUGAGUAAGAAUCUUGGAUGUUUUGGGAGGUCAGUGCAGUGCAGGUGUUGAAGAGUUCGAACUAAAUAUAUGCCGAACUAUUGAAGGUUUUUGUUAUUGUGCAUAUGGCCAGUUCAUUUUCAAAACUUCAUUUUGAUGCUGGUUCUUGCAAGCAGAUACUUGUUGGUGCAAAGCAGUAUAAUCACAGCUUUUCUAACUCAUCAAAAGCUCCCAAACGAAGAAGACCAUUUAACUUAAAUCAUCAAUGCCAACAAUCUCAAUUGGCCAGCAGUUCCGCAUUACUUGCAGAGCAAAAGAUUAGAUUUGUAGCUAGUAAACCCAUCAAAAUGAUAUCAUCAACACGAACAAAAUCUCUCUACUUUACAGAAAACUGAGUAACCUAUUAUUCUACAACAAUUCUAUUUCUUAUAGGAUUCCUUUAGUUAAUUAGUUAAACAAAUCAUGUCUAGUAUUUUACCUUUUAUGUUUUCACCCAACUUUGGACUCUGAAUAACCAUAUAUUCAGAAAACUGAAAAAUAUUGCAAGUAUUAUUAACUGAUUGUAAUGAUAAAAAUAAAUAUAUGGGUAAGAUUGGUAACCAAGGUAACACAUUGGGCUCAUUAUUCAAAUACAUCAACACUCAAAGUCUCUCUAAACACGCCAAACAAACAAAACCGGGAGUAAAACAAAGCAAAAAAAACAUAAACAGAAAUGGGUUGUGAUUAGGAAGGAAAGUACCAAAUUCGGUGUUGAUUUGAUCAGGCUAUUUUGACGACAGUAGGAGCAAAAUCAUCCUCAAUAGGUGGUGGCGGCGGAUUAGGAUUGAGAGGAGCGCGAAUGGUAUUGGUAAGAUCAUCGUCAUCGGGAUCGUAAUCGGGGUUGAGACUUCGAUCGAUGGCUUGGCGGCCCUGUUCGAGACAGGGCUUGCAGGCAAUCUCUAUAGUUAUCCAUCCCAGUGCUAUCCCAGCUAUUGCUAUUAUCGAUGCCGUCAGUGCCCCCAUCUCUCUUUUUCUCUCCUCCUACGCUCUCCUCCGGGAUUGGGGCCAAAAACUCUCUCCAAAGCAGAGAACAGCUCAAGUUUUGGGCAUGUUGGGAGAUGACUUAUAAGUUAAAUUUAACUUAACGAAUAAAUUGUUUUAAACCAUGACU
rnacentral:lncRNA from 1 species